GUGAGGAAUAUUGGUCAAUGGGCGAGAGCCUGAACCAGCCAAGUCGCGUGAGGGAAGACGGCCCUACGGGUUGUAAACCUCUUUUGUCAGGGAGCAAGAACAGAUACGUGUAUCUGAGCGAGAGUACCUGAAGAAAAAGCAUCGGCUAACUCCGUGCCAGCAGCCGCGGUAAUACGGAGGAUGCGAGCGUUAUCCGGAUUUAUUGGGUUUAAAGGGUGCGUAGGCGGACUGCCAAGUCAGCGGUAAAAUUGCGGGGCUCAACCCCGUCGAGCCGUUGAAACUGGCGGUCUUGAGUGGGCGAGAAGUAUGCGGAAUGCGUGGUGUAGCGGUGAAAUGCAUAGAUAUCACGCAGAACUCCGAUUGCGAAGGCAGCAUACCGGCGCCCGACUGACGCUGAAGCACGAAAGCGUGGGUAUCGAACAGG
rnacentral:rRNA from 1 species